rnacentral:rRNA from 1 species
AGAGUUUGAUCCUGGCUCAGAUUGAACGCUGGCGGCAGACCUAACACAUGCAAGUCGAGCGGCAGCGGGACCUUCGGGUUGCCGGCGAGCGGCGGACGGGUGAGUAAUGCCUAGGAAUCUGCCUGUUAGUGGGGGAUAACGCGGGGAAACUCGCGCUAAUACCGCAUACGUCCUACGGGAGAAAGCGGGGGCUCUUCGGACCUCGCGCUAACAGAUGAGCCUAGGUCGGAUUAGCUAGUUGGUGGGGUAAGGGCCCACCAAGGCGACGAUCCGUAACUGGUCUGAGAGGAUGAUCAGUCACACUGGAACUGAGACACGGUCCAGACUCCUACGGGAGGCAGCAGUGGGGAAUAUUGGACAAUGGGCGAAAGCCUGAUCCAGCCAUGCCGCGUGUGUGAAGAAGGUCUUCGGAUUGUAAAGCACUUUAAGUCGGGAGGAAGGGCCGCGGGCUAAUACCCUGGGGUCUUGACGUUACCGACAGAAUAAGCACCGGCUAACUUCGUGCCAGCAGCCGCGGUAAUUC